CUAGAAGUUAUGUAUUAUUUUAUGCGGGAUAAUUUGAAACAAGAAUACAUGUAUUUUUAAUACGGAUGCCCUUAAAGUAAAUAACCUUAACUAACAUUUCAUGCAUUAUUAUUCAUUGCAUAACAAUCUCUACAUUGUUAUUCACUGUAUAACAAUCCCUUCAUAAUGAUUCACGGCAUAAGAACUCUUUGCAUUAUAAUACUUGCAUAACUAAUAUGUGAACCAAACAAUCUCUAAAUGUAUUUCUGGAUAUUCUUUUGUUGAAGAAAAAAAUUGUUGGAAAUAAAAUAGUAGGGCCAAAUUUCAAUUUUGCUAGACUGAAAAAGGGGAAGAGACGAAGCAGCCAGUUUUGUGGGCAGUAUGCCCUAAUGUGACCCACUAUUUUUCAAGAAAGAGGUGUCUUUUUUUUUUCUUUUCACUUUUCC
rnacentral:lncRNA from 1 species